UAACAUUUCAAUGAAGAGUGGUUCUUUAUUUUGAGAUAUAUUUGUGCAUGUCUAUGGUUAAAUCGAAAAUGUGAAAUGGACAUUUUGGUCAGUACUAGUAUAUAGAAUAAAUGUAUAAUGAUACCUUGCAUUUCUUUAGUUUCAAGAGUUUUAAAAGUAAAGAGUCAAUGCUUAUUUGUGAGUUAAAUUGGGUUUCCUUGCGGGUGUGAAUAAUGUCUUUACUGCAAGAAAUUCAUGUCAUUCAUCCUGGGUUAAGUGUUCUUUGAUGUAGUAGGAAAUGCAGUGUCACUUUCAUAAGUAUUCUAAUAAUGAAGGCACAGGAUCCUUGUAUUUGUAAACGAUCUUACGCAGAUCGGGCGUUUUUUUUCCAACUGUGUACGUGUUGAGCUUUACAUGAAGCCUGGCUCGACGGCGUAGAGUUCAGUGAGGAAAUCUGGUCUGGGUUUUGAAAUGCACCCACACGCCUUAUACAGUUACAUAAAGUGUAAUUGCAACACCUUCUUAGAAUUUGAUCCUUAUCAAGUAGAUUCUUCAUAGUUUUUAUUCAAAUAUUUGUUUUAUGUACGUAGACCAACUAACUUUUGGUAGAUGGCGAGUUUGUCAAGGUAGGCGUCGUUUUCUUGUUAAAAAAAAAGAUGAAUGCAAAGCUAAGUUAAGUUUAUUUUAAAAUUUCCCAAUUGUUUUAUUUUUCUAUAUACGAUCAUGCUGAAAUUGUGUCUGGCGUGUGGUUGCCGCCCCAGGUAUGUCUAGGUAAGCCGCUUUAUUUUUGUGUCAGAAGCCAGUUCUCGAGUGGCUUAUAGGCCAGCAAUUUUUCACGAUUGAUAGCCAAACAAUACAUGCCCGAGCAGCAUUUCAGUCAUGACUGACAUAGUUACGCGCUCGUCUUGUCUUUGACCAAGCGAGGUGUUAACAUUUCAAUCACACGUUCUAAUUUCCAACGAUCUUCUGGAACCGCUUGGGUCAUUCCGUCAAUGAUUUCAAAUGCGUAGUGAUCACGUGACAUGGCUGUAAAAAUAAACAAUUUUGCUUUUCAAAUAUUCUUGCUUCUCGAAUCGAUUUUAGUUUACUCACCAAGAUGCAGAUAUUUUUUGCCGUAGACGAUGUUGCUAGUAAUGGUGUAAUUGACUGGCGAUCCCGGUUUUGCGAACGGAUGGUCGCCCAUUUUGAUGUAACAGAAAGAUAAGCAGCCCAGGGAAAAGAUGUCAAUCGCGUUAUCGUUAUUGAUUUGUUCUUUUUCUUCUUUAGUUUUGCUUUCUAGUUGCAGGUAUUCAGGUGCGCAGUACAUCCGAUUGCCUCUCGGAAUGCUCAUCGAAAAACUGUUGGUCUUGCGGAACGGUUUGCAGAAACCGAAAUCGGCAAUUUUGAGGACGCCCGUUUGACUGAUCAAGACGUUUUCUGGCUUGAUGUUGCGAUGAACGAAUCCCAAGGAAUGAAUGUAGGACAAUCCGCUAGCCAUUUGAUGUAACGCGUUAGGGUCGGGGGGCAUGUCUCCCACGUAACGUCUACGUAUGUAAUCGUGUAGUGUGGCUUCGCAAAGCUCCAGAACAAGAAAUCUAAUUUGAAACAAGGUUAAACGCUAAAUAGUGAGAAAAUCAAUUGCUUAACGAAAUGUUGAAAUUACUUGAAAUCUUCGUUUUCUUCGAUGUGCACAAUUUUUAGGACAUUUUCGUGACUCAUUGAUUUCAGUAUGUUUUCUUCGCGGCUUUUAAUUUCGUCUUCUAAAUCGUGCAGUUGAAUUCGUUUCACAGCGACGGGUACUUCAUUCAGGGUUCCACCAAAGACGCAAGCAAAUGCUCCUCUACCCAAAAUGUUUUCCCUUGAAAACCUCAUGGUGGAUUCUAGUUUGUACGAAUAUUGUUAUAGUGGUGAUUAAUGUUAAAUAAAGCUUUUUUGUUUAAAAUUUA